rnacentral:misc_RNA from 1 species
GAUGAAGAACGCAGCGAAAUGCGAUAAGUAAUGUGAAUUGCAGAAUUCAGUGAAUCAUCGAAUCUUUGAACGCACAUUGCGCCCGCCAGUAUUCUGGCGGGCAUGCCUGUCCGAGCGUCAUUUCAACCCUCGAACCCCUCCGGGGGGUCGGCGUUGGGGAUCGGCCCUUUACCGGCCGGCCCCGAAAUACAGUGGCGGUCUCACCGCAGCCUCUCCUGCGCAGUAGUUUGCACACUCGCACCGGGAGCGCGGCGCAGUCCAAUGCCGUAAAACACCCAACUUGCUGAAAUGUUGACCUCGGAUCAGGUAGGAAUACCCGCUGAACUUAAGCAUAUCAAUAAGCGGAGGA